rnacentral:lncRNA from 1 species
CCAGUAGUUGACCAGCAGCUGACCAGUAGUUGACCACAGGUUGCCCAUGAGGCUGCAGUGUGCCCUGGUGGCCAAAAAGACCCAUGGUUGACCAGUGGUUGACCAACAGUUCAUCUGUAGUUGACCAAUGGUUGCUCACGAGGCAGCAUUCAUCUGUAGUGGCCAAAAAGACCCAUGGUUGACCAGUGGUUGACCAUCAGUUCAUCUGUAGUUGACCAAUGGUUGCUCACGAGGCAGCAGUGUGCCCUGGUGGCCAAAAAGACCCAUGGUUGACCAAUGGUUGACCAGCAGUUCAUCAGUAGUUGACCAAUGGUUGCCCAUGUGGCAGCAGUGUGCCCUGGUGGCCAAGAAGACCAGUAGUUGACUAAUAGUGGAACCGUGGUUGACCAACGGUGGCUCAUGAGGCAGCACUGUGCCCUGGUGGCCAAAAAGACCCAUGGUUGACCAGUAGUUGACCAACAGUUCAUCUGUAGUGGCCAAAAAGAUCCAUGGUUGACCAAUGGUCAACCAACAGUUCAUCUGUAGUUGACCAAUGGUUGCCCACGAGGCAGCAUGUGCCCUGGUGGCCAAAAAGACCCAUGGUUGACCAGUGGUUGACCAACAGUUCAUCUGUAGUGGCCAAAAAGAUCCAUGGUUGACCAAUGGUCAGCCAACAGUUCAUCUGUAGUUGCCCAAUGGUUGCUCAUGAG